rnacentral:rRNA from 1 species
GCUCAGAAACUUAAAGGAAGUGACGGGGCCCGGCACAAGCGGUGGAGUAUGUGGUUAAUUCGAUGCAACGCGAAGAACCUUACCUGGUCUUGACAUCCCGGAGACCCUUAGGAAACUAGGGGGUGGCUUCCAUCUGGAAGAAUCUGGAGACAGGUGCUGCAUGGCUGUCGUCAGCUCGUGUCGUGAGAUGUUGGGUUAAGUCCCGCAACGAGCGCAACCCUUGCCUUUAGUUGCCAGCAGUUCGGCUGGGCACUCUAAAGGGACUGCCGGUGUUAAACCGGAGGAAGGUGGGGAUGACGUCAAGUCCUCAUGGCCUUUAUGACCAGGGCUACACACGUACUACAAUGGCCGAUACAAAGGGCAGCGACACUGCGAGGUGAAGCCAAUCCCGUAAAAUCGGUCUCAGUCCGGAUUGGAGUCUGCAACUCGACUCCAUGAAGUUGGAAUCGCUAGUAAUCGUGGAUCAGCAUGCCACGGUGAAUACGUUCCCGGGCCUU